CGUAGGGGGCAAGCGUUAUCCGGAUUUACUGGGUGUAAAGGGAGCGUAGACGGCAGCACAAGUCUGAAGUGAAAUGCCGGGGCUUAACCCCGGAACUGCUUUGGAAACUGUGCAGCUAGAGUGCAGGAGAGGUAAGUGGAAUUCCUAGUGUAGCGGUGAAAUGCGUAGAUAUUAGGAGGAACACCAGUGGCGAAGGCGGCUUGCUGGACUGUAACUGACGUUGAGGCUCGAAAGCGUGGGGAGCAAA
rnacentral:rRNA from 1 species